rnacentral:rRNA from 1 species
UAACUGAAGAGUUUGAUCAUGGCUCAGAUUGAACGCUGGCGGCAGGCUUAACACAUGCAAGUCGAGCGGGGGAAGGUAGCUUGCUACCGGACCUAGCGGCGGACGGGUGAGUAAUGC